rnacentral:tRNA from 1 species
GGGGCUUUAGCUCAGCUGGGAGAGCGCUUCCAUGGCAUGGAAGAGGUCGUCGGUUCGAUCCCGAUAAGCUCCACCA